rnacentral:rRNA from 1 species
CAGCAGCCGCGGUAAUACGUAGGGGGCGAGCGUUGUCCGGAUUUACUGGGCGUAAAGGGUGAGUAGGCGGUUAUAUAUGUCAGAUGUAAAAGGCUAUGGCUUAACCAUAGUUGGCAUUUGAAACUGUAUGACUUGAGUGCAGGAGAGGUAAGUGGAAUUCCUAGUGUAGCGGUGAAAUGCGUAGAUAUUAGGAGGAACACCAGUGGCGAAGGCGACUUACUGGACUGUAACUGACGCUGAGUCACGAAAGCGUGGGUAGCAAACAGGAUUAGAUACCCUGGUAGUCCACGCCGUAAACGAUGAGUGCUAGGUGUCGGGUAGAAAUAUUCAGUGCCGCAGCUAACACAAUAAGCACUCCGCCUGGGGAGUACGUCGCAAGUAUGAAACUCAAAGGAAUUGAC